GUCCUAAAUGACAAGGGUCAGAGAAUGAGUGUUUAGUCCAUCACCAGUCUUACACCAGACUGGCAGGCCCUGCCUGGGGUCUAAUUCUUAUUGAGAACCCAGAGUCACCUUAAUGGCACAAAGAAGCAAUGAAUACUUGACCCAAGAGAAAUCAUAGCCUGAACAUGGUCCUGAAAGGUAUAAUGGAAAGAACACUGGACUCGAGCUCAGAGGACCAAGAUGGAAAUUCAGAGAGAGGAAGCAACUGGCCCAAGGUCAUUCAGAGAGUCAGAGACAAAGCCGGGAUGGAACCCAGGUGUCCUGACACUUUUGUGCUGCCUUGGGAAGGUGACUUCCUUUCAUUGAAUUUCAGUUUUCUCCAUCAAAUGAGGAUCAGACUCAAUCAGGCUAACGUCCCUUCCAGCUCCAAAUCAAUGAUCUAUAAGAACCCUAUUAUUGUUUCAAAUCAACAGAUAAAUGUCAACAGACACCUACUGUGUGCAAGGAAGCUAAGAAAGCUGAAAGCGCCAGACUAGUCCUCCCUAUUAGUGAAUUCCUGACUCUUCCAGCAGAGGAAAACCAGCCCAAGAAGGCUGUAGCAUGUGAGCACAGCUAGAUUACACUCAUAAAUUUGGAUUCAGCUAAUUGUGACUUUAUGGAGGACAUGCUUCUGAAACAACAGAGUCUAUAAACACAGAGUAACCCUGAUGGAUUAGGUGACAAGCAAACAUUGACGGGAGGGAGAGAGGCAGCAGGAGGGCAGAGAAGACUUCAAUUUCCAACCUCAUCACUCACCAGGAUAUCUAGCAAGACCUCUUUCCAUGGCUAGCUGGAGGAUGGAACUUCUACAUUUGUCAGACAUUGGCUGUUCCCUGUUGUUCAGGGACAUAUCAGUUCUGGAGGAAGAGCUUGCCUUCCCUCCCUCCAGCCAGUAGAUGUGUUCCAGUGACUCUUUCCCAAUUCAAAACCAAAUGGAAGAAAUGUCUGACUCUCCAGUGAGAAGAUACUAUUUCCCCACAUUCCAUUGAGAUAGGAAGAGCUAUAGCCAGAGCCAGUGGCUGCCCUGCUGAGAAGUUGAUGUGGUUCAGAUGGUGGAGCAAAAAGCAAAUCUGUCUUUGAAUCAGAAGAUCAGGCUCUGACCUUAACAUUUAGGGUGUGACCUUAGUA